rnacentral:snoRNA from 1 species
UCGUCAGGUAGGAUAAUCCUUACCUGUUUCCCCUUUAGGGGAGCAGAUUGGAAAAUGAUGAUUGGAGUGCGCAUGAUUCGUGAUUAGCGUCUCUGCGUAAUCAGGACUUGCAACACCCUGAUUGCUCCUGUCUGAU